rnacentral:lncRNA from 1 species
CAACAUUGUCCUCUAUUCACCAUCUACUAUUCAUCCUUCAAGAAUUUUAAGAAUCAUGUUUUUAAAAUCUUAAGUACUCAGGACCCCAAGAGAAGGAUUUUCCUUAAUUCUGACCAGUCUCCUAAGUUUCCCUAUACUAGUAGAAACCUGAUAAGUUGAAAUCUAGGGCCGAAUACAUCCUUAAUGAUGAGGAGAGGAUAGACAUAUCAAUUCUAAAGAUAGAAGAGGUCUUCCAAGGGUACCUAAGGCCGAGAAACCUACUAUCUUUUUUUCACGGUAAGAUUCGUAUUUGAGAUUUCUUUGUGCAUCUUCUAAUUUUCUAAGAUUUUUCUCAUCUUGGUGUAGAGAUCAUGGGGAAAGGUUAUGACUACAAAGCACUGCGAGCUCAAAUUGGAGACCCCAACCUUCAAAAGGAUCUCUUGUCUGACUUCAAUCCCAAAAAGAAAAUUAAAGUUGUUGUUGAGGGAACCUCUUCUGCAGUUCCCAUGCCCUCCUCAGUAGCUCCAAAAAUCAGCUCUGUGUCGGUUCCACCUGAACCUUCGUUGCACCCACCAAACCCUCUAAGCCAAAAGUGCCUUGGUGCCUUCCUUAGUGAUAAGGAGCAAGCAAGGUAAGUUAACUUGGGUGG